CCUACGGGUGGCUGCAGUGGGGAAUAUUGGACAAUGGGGGCAACCCUGAUCCAGCCAUGCCGCGUGUGUGAAGAAGGCCCUCGGGUUGUAAAGCACUUUCAGUGAGGAAGAACGCCUGGUGGUUAAUACCCAUCAGGAAAGACAUCACUCACAGAAGAAGCACCGGCUAACUCCGUGCCAGCAGCCGCGGUAAUACGGAGGGUGCGAGCGUUAAUCGGAAUUACUGGGCGUAAAGCGCGCGUAGGUGGCUUGAUAAGCCGGUUGUGAAAGCCCCGGGCUCAACCUGGGAACGGCAUCCGGAACUGUCAAGCUAGAGUGCAGGAGAGGAAGGUAGAAUUCCCGGUGUAGCGGUGAAAUGCGUAGAGAUCGGGAGGAAUACCAGUGGCGAAGGCGGCCUUCUGGACUGACACUGACACUGAGGUGCGAAAGCGUGGGUAACAAACAGGAUUAGAUACCCGGGUAGUC
rnacentral:rRNA from 1 species